GACUAUGAACACUUACAGUUUCUAAAGCAAUUUGCUGAAAAGCUUUCCUCCAAAAUGGUGCCAAUUUCUACCCCAAUCACCCAGAGGAAUGGGGGCGGGGGUCACUAGAACCCCACAUAAGUGGAAGAAGCAGAUGCCAUGAGGAUGAGAGGCUAGUGUCAGUAUAUACGUGACCCUUCUGUGUCGUACUUCUGUGUUUUUUACAGGGAAAAAAAAAUUCAUUUCCCAGAAUCAGCUGAUUUCAAUGCUAAUGUCUUGUCUCAUGGACAUAUUUGUAGUUUCUUUGCUAGUUCCCUUCACUCAUGGCAAAGGCAAGUGUGUGUCUUUCUUCAGGAUGGAAAUGGAAAUCUCCUUAGCUCCUGCUCCUGGAGUAAGACUGCUAGUGGACCAGCUCCCCAGUUGCAAGGCUGAUGGGAUUUCUCUGUGGGCAUAACUGUUAGUCCACGCAUCAGCCCUAACAGCGAGACAAACGUGAUUUACCAAGGAUGCUUCAUCUCCCCACUUUUGGUUUUGGAGGUGGACAUGCACUUGUUACAUCGAGAUGUGGUCCAGUACUUCUAAUAGUGACAACGGAUGAAGAAUGCAUAUGUUUCAGCUACCAUCUCCUUUGAAGACUCACGGUCUACCCAGGUGCUUGAUUUCACAUUGUGCAUGAAAGCCGCACAUCUCGUCUGAGGUUGGAGAAUUGAUGAAGAAGCUCGAAGUAAAAUUCAGGAGUCACGGUUACAAACUAGUACCCUUUACGCUUACCUGCAGGUUUGCCCUACUGCAUUAAGGCCAAACAAACACAUUAUUCUUCCUGAUACCCCAAGUGUGGGAUGCACUACUGCUCUUUAAAAUCAAUAAUCAGGUAAGAAGCCAUGAAGCAAGAAGAUGUAAAAACACAUGGGGAAGAAGAGUGCUUCCCAACGCCGCAAAACAGUAGCCAUUCCACAAAUAAGGCUUUACAUAACCACAAAACAAGAUGACCAUUUAAGAAAACGACAAUAUCAAAAGCACGUUACGUUGUUUCUCAGCACUGAGCACAUUUGGCUGUUAUUGGACACAGCUGCGCAUAAACACCCAAAUCAUCUUUAUCACUUUGCACAGAUAG